UAACUGGCCUCUCUUUAUUAUUCUUUGCCUUUAAAGAACGGGAGAGAAGUGUUACUUUCUUGGCUAAGUUCUGUCACUUGUUUUUGGAAAGUCUGGCUUUAUGGUUUUCUUAUUCUUUCCUCAGUACCACAUGGCCUUGUGUUCCUCUGUUACUCUAACGACUUCUUCAGUGAUUUAUAAUGGGAAGACAAUGCACUUUAAUGGCGCAGUCAAGAGGAGAGAAGUCAGGAUGCCGAAUUAUAACUUGGUGUCAUUGCAGAAUGGAGUUGUGACUCCCCCAGAGCGUGUGCUGAGUGAAGGAGGAGGAGUCGGCAUCGCCCUGUGCCCUCGGCUACACGGUGUUCUAUUGUCACCUACGGCAUCUGUGCUCCAGCGCUGUGCAUUCAAAUAGUGAGAAAUCUAGCUAACAACCGCAUAACAGUGUUAGAAGUUCACCAUCUUGAGAGGGGGUUUUUCUCAGCUGCCUGCCUACCUGCCUGUCUGCGAUCACCCGGCGGCGUGCGCGUGAGCUCCCGGCCUGCGCGGGAGCUCCCGGCCUGCGCGACAACAGACCCAGGAAGGACCCAAGGACCCCAGAGGGGGUUUUUCUCAGCUGCCUGCCUACCUGCCUGUCUGCGAUCACC
rnacentral:lncRNA from 1 species